AUGAAGAAGCAAGCCAAAUUUAUCUUAGAGCGAUGCCGGGGCUUUCCACUCACCAUAGCUGCCAUAGGAGGUCUAUUGGCUAACAGGCCCAAAACAAGCAGUGAAUGGACGAAUCUACAAGAGCAUCUUAAGCGAGAGUUCGUGUUUGUUGCCCUUGAUCUCAAGAGAGUUAUGUCCUUGAACUAUGACGCACUUCCAUAUGAUGUGAAGUUUUUCUUGUUGAACAUGAGUAUCUUCCCUCAGAACCAUGAGAUCAGGCAUACCCGCUUAUUGCGGCGGUUCAUGGCAGAAGUCUACACAUAAAAGCCGUAUAAUAUGACCAUUGAAGAAGUCACACGGAGUCACUACAGUAAUCUCAUCAACAGAAGAAUGAUUGAGCCUUCCAACAAAGCCAGGGCUAGCAUGACAAGUGAAUGUUGUCGUGUUCAUGACCUAGUACUCCAAAUAAUCUUGCCCAAGUCUAUUGAGGAGAACCGGCUCUUCAUCAUGGAUAAGCACUGCAAUGAGGCUCCACAAAGUAAUGUAUGUCAGUUGGUAGUGGCAAGGCGGAAGAGGCACGAGGAGAAGAUGGCAAACAUAAACUUGAGUCGUUUAAGAUCACUGACUGUCUUUGGAGAGUGUCCUGAAUCUCUCAUCACCCAAAAAUUGCGUUUCCUAAGGGUUCUUGACUUGGAGGAUACAAUUGGUCUGAAGAAUGAAGAUCUGAAGGACAUCAGGCAACUACCCCAUUUAAGGAACCUUGGUCUGCGAGGAACAGAUAUUUCAAAACUUCCUUCUUCUCUAGAAAACCUUAGGUUCCUGGAGACAUUAGAUGUUAAAGACACAAAGGUGACACAGUUGCCAGCUGGUAUCAUCAAUCUGGAGAAUCUAUGUUACCUUCGUGGCGGUGUCGACUUUGCAGCAAAGAGGAUGGGGGAAGAGAAGAAUGCCGACAAACAUAACAACUUCUUUGAGACUUUGGCAAACUUGGUACGCAUGUGUCAUGAUGCUUACAAUGAAGGUCCAAGAGCUCCUGAGAAAAUCGAGAAGCUAAGUAACCUACAAGUGCUAGGGGUGGUGCACAUUGCACGCAGCCAGGAGGCAAAAAAGCUGGGGAAGCUGGCUAACUUGCGCAAACUAGGAGUGCAUUUAGAUGCGGACAGUGAAGCCAGUGAGGAAUUAUGCAGCUCGAUAUCAAGUCUUGUUCGGUUGGAACGGCUCGAAGUGCACUGUGAGUCGCUUGAGUUUCUCAAGGGCGUGAUUGAAACACCACCAAGGCUUCUCCUGUCACUACGGUUGUGUGGCCAUUUAGGCAAUCUCCCUAGCUGGAUGAGUUCCCUCACCAGUCUAUCCAAGAUAAAGUUGAUACAGACAGGUUUGAAGCAGAAAGACAUUGAGGUGAUCGGAAGUUUGAGCAACAUAAUUCUUCUUGGCCUCUGGGAGGAAUCCUUUGCAGAGGAGUCUCUAUCUUUUGGAAAGGAUACAUUCCAAAAUCUCAAACUGCUUGAUAUUGAAGGCCUGGAGAAAGUCAACACCAUACACAUCGAGCAUGGCGCGUUGCCAGUCCUUGAGAAACUUCGGGUGAGAAAAUGUCUUGAUUUGUACAACAGUGUGCAGGGCUUGUCCAGUGUCAAGUCUAUGGAGAAGCUAAAGGAACUUGAGCUGACAAGUUGUGGUGAUAAACUCGAGUUGGAGAAGGAACUUCAAAAGCAGAUUGGUAAAUUUACCAAUCCACCGGUGCUCAUAACUAGCAAGUAUGUAGUAACGUGGCAAGAAAUGUUGCUUACCAGUUUUUACAGGCUCAUCGGAUGGGAAUAG
rnacentral:rRNA from 1 species